rnacentral:rRNA from 1 species
UCGACCUGAACUCAGACGUGACU